UGCCAAGUUGGUAUAAAAUAAUAAAAUCAUAACAAAAUAGAGGUGGUCUCCAAAAUCAUGGAGAUUGAUGUAGGACAGAUGUUAGGGUUCGAAGCCAAUGGCCAAGAAAGAAUUCUUGAGACGUCUUUGGUGCAAAAAGGUGGUUUUAUUAAAGCACAGGGACAGGACCUGUGGGUAGAAAGAGCUGCACUGGGGGGGCUCCUGGGUGGCUCAAUUGGUUAAGCGUCAGGUCAUGAUCCCAAGGUCCUGGGAUUGAGUCCUGCAUUGGGCUCCCCGCUCAGUGGGAAGUCUGCUUCUCCCUCUGCCCUUCCCCCCGCACUUGUGCUCACACACACACACUCUCUCUCUCAAAAAUAAAAUCUUAAAAAAAAAAAGGGAAGAGCUGCACUGGGGUCAGGAGAAGUGGCUCAUUAUAUACUUUCAAGUUGGGAGGGGGUUAGGGAUAGUGUAAGUCUCUAAGGAAUUUUGGAAGCAAGCUUUUCAGGACUUCAGGGGGGUAGCUAUUGUUAGGAAAAGGUCAUUUAUUACUGUCUGAUAAAACCUGAGUCAUGAGACCCUUCAGAUGUAUAUUGGUCGGUCACAUGCUUGGGAGAUGAUUGCCAACAUGUAUCUUGGGUGGGGGGAGUGGUUAGAGAUAAAGGAAGUUUUCAAAGGAAUUUUUAUAUGUUAAAGUAGACUUACAGGAUGGGGGUGGGUGGGCUAGGACUGCCUUCUGCCGUCAACAUCUGGGCAGCUGAGUUCCUGGAGGAAGGUCACUCUGCCUGUUUCAAGGACUUGUGAAUGGACUCUAAGUAGUAAGGUUAUUUAAUAAUUUUUCUUCUGCCUUUGUUUCCCACAUCAGAACUACUCGAGAAGAAAGCGUUCUGGAGGAUUCAGGAAAGGAAAGAAAGGAUGUCUCUUUCUCUGACAGAAGAGAGUCUUACAGAGGGGUAUGCCAGCCACACGUAGCCCUCUGCUUCUUGUCUUUAAUGAGCUGAGAGGACCUCCUGCCCUCUAGCCCAAGAGGAGAAGGCCCAUACAGUCACACAUGCCAGCUCUUCCCGGGCACUGACUCACGGAGCCUUUGACCCAAGGCACGAGAAGUGUCACCAUGCAGGUGGGGCAAAUGGAAGAGUCAGCUUUAAAUCGGAGUUCGUCAGCAACUAUAUUGCAUAUGCAAAGAGUAAGUGUUCCAAUCAAAAGGCAGAGACCGACAACCUGGGUACAAAAACAAUCAUGUUGUUUGAAGAAAACAACUCCUAUUUAAGGAUAUAUAAGGACACCGACAAGUUAAUCAUAAAAAAAUGGGAAAACUUUAUGUUGUGUUAGUCUGCUAAGAUUGGGCUGCUAUUACUAAACCAGAUGGCUUACAGACGGCAGAAAUUAAAAAAUAAACAGCAGAAACUUAUUUCUCACGGGCUGGAGGCUGGACAGGAGGAUGUUGGUGUUCCCAACCGGCAGGCACAGGCACACUUGCAAAUGGUUUCAUUUUCUUGAACCUCCUACAUAAAAUGUACCCUUACCUACAACUGUGAGCCUAUCGUAUUUCGUAUCGUUGUGCAACUAGGCAGACAGGCAGAACUUCAUGUCCUCAGAUGACCAAGGAUCAGGCUCCUGUUUCCCCUAGACUUAUGUUUUACUUCUCCAGUCACUACUGGAAAUUCCUGCUGUUGACUGUGAUGUAAUACGCAUGUGUAGGGCGCCUGGGUGGCUCGGAGAGUGUCUGCCUUCAGCUCAGGUCAUGAUCCCAGGGUCCUGGGAUCGAGCCCCGCGUCGGGCUCCCUGCUUAGUGGUGAGUCUGCUUCUCCCUCUGCCUGCUGCUCCCCCUGCUUUUGUGCUCUCUCUCUGUCCA
ensembl:lncRNA